rnacentral:lncRNA from 1 species
UGCACCCGUUCAUGCCACGCACAUGGUUUUCACCAGUUUUCCAUGGUGCGCGCCCAGUUUUUUGCAACACGGCCGUCGUACCCCGUGUUUCCCCGUUUCCUCAAGUUCACGUUUUUUGGCCCGUGUGCCCGUACGUUCAUCCGUCCAUGCCACGAACAAGGUUUUCACCCGUUUUCCAUGGCGCGCCCAGUUUUUUGCAACACGGCCGUCGUACCCCGUUCUUUCCCGUUUCCUCACGUUCACGUUUUUUGGCCCGUGUGCCCGUACGUGCAUCCGUCUAUUCCACGCACAUGGUUUGCCCCAGUUUUCCAUGGUGCGCGCCCAGUUUAUUGCAACACGGCCGCCGUACCCGUUUUUUCCCCGUUUCCUC